UACGGAGGGAGCAAACGUUGUUCGGAUUUACUGGGCGUAAAGGGUGUGUAGGCGGUCUUGCAAGUCAGGGGUGAAAUCUCUCGGCUCAACCGGGAAACUGCCAUUGAUACUAUUUAUCUUGAAUACUUUGGAGGUAAGCGGAAUAUGUCAUGUAGCGGUGAAAUGCUUAGAUAUGACAUAGAACACCAAUUGCGAAGGCAGCUUACUACACAGUUAUUGACACUGAGGCACGAAAGCGUGGGGAUCAAACAGG
rnacentral:rRNA from 1 species